GCACUCCACCUGGGAAGUACGGUCGCAAGACUGAAACUCAAAGGAAUUGACGGGGGCCCGCACAAGCGGUGGAGCAUGUGGUUUAAUUCGAAGCAACGCGCAGAACCUUACCAGGUCUUGACAUCCACGGAACCCUGGUGAAAGCCGGGGGUGCCCGCAAGGGAGCCGUGAGACAGGUGCUGCAUGGUCGUCGUCAGCUCGUGUCGUGAGAUGUUGGGUUAAGUCCCGCAACGAGCGCAACCCUUGUUGCUAGUUGCCAUCAGUUCGGCUGGGCACUCUAGCGAGACUGCCUACGAAAGUAGGAGGAAGGCGGGGAUGACGUCUGAUCCGCAUGGCCCUUACGACCUGGGCGACACACGUGCUACAAUGCCUGCCACAAAGCGCUGCGACCCGGCAACGGGAAGCCAAUCGCAUAAAAGCAGGCUCAGUUCGGAUUGGGGUCUGCAACUCGACCCCAUGAAGCUGGAAUCGCUAGUAAUCGCGGAUCAGCCAUGCCGCGGUGAAUACGUUCCCGGGCCUUGUACACACCGCCCGUCAAGCCAUGGGAGUGGGUUUUGCCUGAAGUCGCCGGGAGCCACAGGC
rnacentral:rRNA from 1 species